UCAAGGUCUUGACUGCUUCCCUUUGAAAUCAAGUCACUUCGGAGAUUUAAGGUGAUUUGUUUCAAGCAGGUGAUCUUGGCAAAGCACUUCCAUCGCCAUGACCUUGUCUGGGCUUGUUCUCAUUAAUAAGCUGAUAUUUUCCUAGCUGUUCUUAAUUCCAGUGUUUAACCGUUCUGGCCACACACACGAUGAGACUGGUGGAUUAAUGUUGCCUACUCCUUCCCUCAGAGGUCGGACUCCAUGAUCUGAGAGCUCCUCCUUUUCAGAUCAGCUGAUAGCUCCCUAGUGAGCUCUUUUCUCAGAAGCAGGGAUAGAAAAAGACAGGGACAGUCUGAGGGAGCAGAAAACAUGCCUCCAUCCCCUCUUGACUACCGAAUACCGUAGGCAUGUCAGCACAUGACCAUAGUCAACAAAGGCAAAAAGAGAGGCACAAAGCAUGCGGCUGCCCUUUGACCUACCUCAGUGCUUGGGAUGAACGCCAGGGCUAAGCCGCCUCGUCCAAACGCUCACCGGCACUCACUACGCCAGUCUGAUAGCUGCAGCAGCAACUGGAAAACUCAGUGGUGAACUCCCUGCUUUUCCCAGUACGUGAACGUCAACACCAGCCGGACGUUAAGUGUGAACAGCACAGCAGUAAAGAGUUUAAUCAGAGAACAAGAGAGUUCCCUCCAUGUCACAGAAGCUGGCAACAAUUUCCCAAGGUAGAUGUAGGUGAAAUGAAUGAAUCAGAGAACAAGAAAAGCUCGGCACACUGGUGGAUAAUCAAUCAAAACAAAUGCAACAGUGUUUCAGAGACGAUGACAUCCAGUGGCCAAGAAGCAUAUGAAAAAGUAUCCUCCUUGGGGCUGGAGAAUCCACUCAGGGUAAGAGCACUGGUGGCUCUUCCAGAGGUCCUGAGUCAAUUCCCAGCAACCACAUGGUGGCUUACAACCAUCUGUAAUUUGAUCAGGUUCCCUUUUCUGGCCUGCAGACAAAAUACUAUAUGGAAAACAAACAAAUAAACAAACAAACAAACAAACAAAAACAAAACAGUCUUCUUAUUAGAGAUGAGAAAAACAGGAACCAAAUCCACAAUGUGGUUUUAAAUUACUUGUAUUUAUGCACUGCGUGUUCCAUGGGCCAAUUUUCUCCCUUGACCAUGAGGGAUCUGGGGAUCUAACUCAGGGCAUCAGGCUUGGCACAAGUUCCUUUACCCACUGAACCGUGUUGCUGGCCCUGGUUCAAAUAUUCUUAACGGGAAAUUCCAAAAAUGAGUAAUAUGUAAACUUAAAAUCGCACGGCAUUCUGAACAGCUUGCUACAAUCUCAGUGUCCCACUCCGCUGCUUCUGGGAUGGGAAGCAUGUCACACAGCUUGCCGGUGGGUUAGUUACUAGUGGCCAGACUAGUGACUCUGAAUCCAGGAUGCCACAUCGCUCAUGUUCGGCGGCUCUUAAUUUACUUGAUAGGAGUUCCAAAGCAAGAAAGCAGCGAAUCUGUCAACUGAACAGCCGGAAGGGGAGCGACAAAGUUUCCGAGUACCUCAGGCUGACCUCCCACUAGCUACGUAGCCAGGAAUGACCUUGAAAGUCUUCUCCGUCUCCAGCUCUUGGGUGUUGGGGUUACUGGCGUUGACCACCACGCCCAGCUUAUGUGGUGCUGGUGAAAAACCCUAGGCUUUGUUUCUGCUAACCAGCUGAGCUACACUCUCAACUCCAUGGAGUUUCUUUACACGAAAUGUAAAGACUUAAGAAGAGGGAAGAAAAAAAAUCUAUUCUGAAACUGCUAAGAUCCACUGGGAACAAAUCUUCUUACUUUACACAUUUUUUUAUGAUUUAGUGGAUGAAACCUAGCAUCACUCACGCUGAAAACAAGUUCUUCUACUGACCUAGAGCUCACAAAACCAGCCUCCCACAAGGCAGCAUGGGCACAUUUGGCCAACAGGAUGUUGGGUGAGAAACGUCAGUCAGGCAAAGGUGUGUUCUGUAUUGUACCAUUUCACUUACGGGUCUCAAGUAGGCAAGAUCAGCCUAUGGCCUGGGAACUCCAGAGUCCAGCUGUCCAUCAUGCUUGCCAGUACGUGUUAAUCGUACAGGAUGGCGGCUCCACCACGCUUUUCACACACGUAUGUAAUGAAUGCAAAAGAGGUGAGCUUCUUCUUGAAGUUUGCUACGUGAAGAUAAAACACAAGGAGUUCACCUAUAGUAUAAGACACAUUUAUCUGCACUUCUGUGCCAAGGAGCAUACCCCUCUUGUUUUAUGACAGAUACAAUGUGCUGAAAAAGAAGCAGGAUUCUUGAAGAACUAAGGGCUGCAUGAGUAGGAAAUGUACCUGCCACACCUGCUUGAAGACCUGAGCUGGAUACCAAGAAUGCACAUAAAAAGCCAGGAGCAGCAAGUCCUGCCUGUAACUCUAGCACUGGGGACAGGCUGGGGGCGGGGGGGGGGGGGACGACAGCAGGCAGAUACUUGGAGCUCCCUGGCCUGUCAACUUCGCUGACCUGAAGAGCUUUAGAUUCAGGGAGAGAUCCUACCUCAAAAAAAUAAAGCUGGGCUGGAGAGAUGGCUCAGUGGUUAAGGGCACAGACUGCUCUUCCAGAGGACCCAUGUCCAAUUCCCAGCACCCACAUGGCAGCCCACAACUGUCUACAAUUCCAGUUCCAGGGUUCCCAACACCCGUGGCAAAAUGCCAUUACCCAAAAAAUAAAAAUAAGUAAAUUAAGCCGGCAAGAUUGCUCAAUAGGUAAAGGUGCUUGCCACCAAGCUCCGUGAAGCACAUUCAGUUCCCAGAACCCACACUGUGGAAGGAAAGAAUGAAUUCCUACAAGUUGUCUUUUGUCUUCCAUAUGCAUGCUAUGAGAGUCACCUAUAUGCAUGUGUGUACACUCACUUGUGCACGAACACGCAUGUGCACACACACACACUAAAUAAAUGAAACAAAAACAAAAUUUUAAAUAAGUGGACAGGAACGAAGAAAGACACCCACAAUCAACUUUAUGUCUCCACAUAUAUGUACAUACAUGUACCCAAUAUGCACAUAUAAAUUUACUAAUAAGCACAUAUGCCGCACAUACACAACACAGCACACACACAUGUCACACACUCAUCCAAAAAGUUGUUAUCAUAGUUGCUACAAAACAAAUAGGCUAAUAAAAGAAAAUAACUAUUGGGUUUCAAACCUGGGACAAAUGGCUAAGGUGUCUAUUUAAUAGAUCAAAAGCAGACACUGGCCACCAGACUCUCUCUGCAUCCCUCAGUCCUGAUCUGUUACAGGGCCCUCCUGGCUGGUGUAUCUGCCCCCUACCCUGAACUCUGCAGCCCAUGGGGCUCAGCUUCUCUUUCCUAUAUAGUACAAGCAUUUUGGUUACCCACUCUCUUUGUAUCUUUGGGGCUCCUUGCUGCUGCCCCUGGUUCCCCUCUCUCUCCUCACAUGACCCUGGGUCGCGACCACUCUGGACUCUCCCAGAUGUCUACCUCUGACUACAAUCUCCCACAAUUCUCCUCCACCACACCUAGGAGCAGCCGUGUCUUUUGCCUCUCUCUCUCUC